UACGUAGGGUGCAAGCGUUAUUCGGAAUUACUGGGCGUAAAGCGUGCGCAGGCGGUAAUGUAAGUCAGUUGUGAAAUCCCCGGGCUCAACCUGGGAACUGCGCUUGUGACUUCAAGACUAGAGUACGGCAGAGGGGGAUGGAAUUCCGCGUGUAGCAGUGAAGUGCGUAGAUAUGCGGAGGAACACCGAUGGCGAAGGCAGCUGGCUACACGAGUAUUGACACUGAGGCACGAAAGCGUGGGGAUCAAACAGG
rnacentral:rRNA from 1 species